CCUACGGGAGGCAGCAGUGAGGAAUAUUGGUCAAUGGGCGCGAGCCUGAACCAGCCAAGUCGCGUGAGGGAAGACGGUCCUAUGGAUUGUAAACCUCUUUUGUCAGGGAGCAACGCCGGCUACGUGUAGCCGGACUGAGAGUACCUGAAGAAAAAGCAUCGGCUAACUCCGUGCCAGCAGCCGCGGUAAUACGGAGGAUGCGAGCGUUAUCCGGAUUUAUUGGGUUUAAAGGGUGCGUAGGCGGAAUGCCAAGUCAGCGGUAAAAUCGCGGGGCUCAACCUCGCUCCGCCGUUGAAACUGGCGUUCUUGAGUGGGCGAGAAGUAUGCGGAAUGCGUGGUGUAGCGGUGAAAUGCAUAGAUAUCACGAAGAACUCCGAUUGCGAAGGCAGUUCACUGGACUGCAACUGACACUGAGGCUCGAAAGUGUGGGUAUCAAACAGGAUUAGAUACCCUUGUAGUC
rnacentral:rRNA from 1 species